CACAUCAGCAUUGGAUGUCCAAAACCGCCUUAGCUCGCCUAGCCACGCAUAACUCUCGCUUAGCCACGCUUCAUGGCUUUGACUUUGCUUAGCCACGCUCCCAUAUUCAGAUUUCUUUUGCUCUCUGACUUGCAUUGCUUUGGCAUGGCUUUGACUUUGCUUAGCCACGAUGACAACAUCUAAUUUUCUUCACUUUCUUUGAUCUUUUUCUCUUGGCAAGCAAAUCCCUACAUAAUUGGUUGGUAUUAAACAUAAAAAGCAUAAAGUGGUAUUAAUCUAUUAUUUUGGAGCUUUUCAUGAGAUAAUUUGUAAAACAAGUAAUUAAAGUGCCUAAAAUAUAUAUGUUAUUUAACUAAUUUCUAGCACUUAUCAGC
rnacentral:lncRNA from 1 species